UUGAUCAUAAAAUAGUUUUCAAUGCCUGACGGGAAGCCUGAGGAGAGAUUUGUGCUGGCUCAUGGUCUCCCACGCACGGUAAGAAAGUGCUUUCCAAAGGAGGAACUGGCUUUUCUCGGAGCAAGAGAAGGGUAAAAGUUCCUCACCCUCCUCUCCGUUUUGCUUAAGGGUUUGUAAAAAAAAAAGGGAUUGGCCUUGCUGACAUGAGGCAUCUCAUGGCGAAUGGAAAGAGGCAGGCCGUGCGAGGGAGUGGUCUUAUUUACAUGGGAACUGUUUUACGUAAGAAGAGGAGGUUGGUCCAGCAAAGGUGUGGUUUUAUUUACAUCCCAUGCUCUUCCCUUAGGAUUGGAGGGUGUUCCGAAGGUGUGGUCUCAUUUCCAUCCUGCCUGGAGCUGCCUUUGGCUCCUCGGGAUUCAACCCUUGCCUGUGGCUGUAAAAGGAAGCGAGUGCUGCAAGCAGAAUAAAAACGACUAUGUGAAAAAAAAAAAAAAAAAAAAACAAACCAAACCAUGCCUGUUUUUCCUCCUCUGUUUCUUCUGUGCGUGCAUUCCUGCUGGUGCAUCUAUGUUUCAGAGGUGCUCUGCCAGCUGUGGAAGAAUGCCUGCCUUUCUUGUGUGUGCCUGUCACGUUUCACGCAGUCCUUUGCACCAACGUGGACCCGGCAUAAGCACCCAGCAGCAUUUUACAUGAUCCCUGGAGUGGGAUAGAAGACAACAACCCAGCAUACACAGGGCAGUGAGGAUCUGGCUCCGCUACCCGCAGUCACCAUGCAAUGGUCUGUCCCUCCCUCAGCUGGAUAUAACAUAUAUCCAGCUGUAGAGGCUAUAAUCAGGAAGAAAUUCAGCUCUUACUGGCCUCUCUCUGCAUUUACUUUGGGGCGCAGCUAUGUUUUUAGCAGAAGAUGGACCAGGGGAACUCCUCGCGUGUGGAUUGUGAACACCCAGACAGCCUUCAAGCUGCUGUUGACUUGGCCGGAUUGAAUUUACUGUGAGUCCUCUUGUCCUUCCCCAUUUUUUUUUUCCAGCCGUGGCUGAUCAGGACCCACCUGGGUCAGUUCUGGGCAAUAAGAAGGGCAGAAGGCGGAGGAGAUGAGUUUGCUGAUUUAUUUUUUUUCAUUUAUUUUUUUUUUCUUAAAAGGAAAUUAAAGUAUCUUGAAUCUUCAACAGCUUGAUGAUUGGUCCACCCGCACGUAUGUGAGCAUGGGUUAUUUUCAGAGAGAGCACAGCUGUGGUGUUGCUUUGGCCGUGGGUAGAAAGUGAGAGGAGAGCCCCUGUGACGUGAAGCUCUGGUUUGUGACUAUGUCUGGAAGCCCCGAACGCUGAUGGAGCUGCCACCAUUGCUCUGGGAUGGACUGAGACCCCUUUGCUGCGACACGCCAGUGCUCAGCGCAAGAAGAAGGUGCCUCCAAGAAGGUGGCCUCAUGUAGGGAUGUGCAGGUCGCAAUCCCUUUCUCUAAUUCUUCUCGCUGCUGCCUCUGCUGCCUCCUGUAACCCAUCUGUGUGGGACAGCCUAAAGAUACUGACGUUUUUAAGUUACAAUCAGAACUCCUUUUCAACUUUAGAUAACCCUAGAGGCCUUCAAAAACACCUGGCGAUGAGCUGCUUCUCCUUGUCCCACAAAAACUUGGUGAGACUGGAAGUCCAGCUGUCUGCCCCACUCUGGGUUAGGAGAAGAAAGCUAAUGAAAUAUU
rnacentral:lncRNA from 1 species